rnacentral:rRNA from 1 species
GAUGAACGCUAGCUACAGGCUUAACACAUGCAAGUCGAGGGGUAACGAGAGGAAAGCUUGCUUUCCUUGUCGACGACCGGCGCACGGGUGAGUAACGCGUAUCCAACCUGCCCCCAACUAGGGAAUAACCUUGCGAAAGUAAGACUAAUACCCUAUAAUUUCCUCAGAUGUCAUCUGACGAGGAAUAAAGAUUUAUCGGUUGUGGAUGGGGAUGCGUCUGAUUAGCUUGUUGGCGGGGUAACGGCCCACCAAGGCAACGAUCAGUAGGGGUUCUGAGAGGAAGGUACCCCACAUUGGAACGGAGACACGGUCCAAACUCCUACGGGAGGCAGCAGUGAGGAAUAUUGGUCAAUGGGCGGAAGCCUGAACCAGCCAAGUAGCGUGCAGGAUGACGGCCUUAUGGGUUGUAAACUGCUUUUAUACAGGAAUAAAGUUAGCCACGUGUGGUUAUUUGUAGGUACUGUAUGAAUAAGGACCGGCUAAUUCCGUGCCAGCCGCCGCAGUAA